rnacentral:tRNA from 1 species
AGUUAAUUAGCUUAAAAUAAAGCAUAUGUUUUGAAAACAUAAGAUUAGAAGUCUAGAAACUCUAUUAACUU